AAUAGAUACCCGUGGUAGUCCACGCCGUAAACGAUGAGUGCUAAGUGUUAGAGGGUUUCCGCCCUUUAGUGCUGCAGCUAACGCAUUAAGCACUCCGCCUGGGGAGUACGGCCGCAAGGCUGAAACUCAAAGGAAUUGACGGGGGCCCGCACAAGCGGUGGAGCAUGUGGUUUAAUUCGAAGCAACGCGAAGAACCUUACCAGGUCUUGACAUCCUCUGCCAACCCUAGAGAUAGGGCGUUCCCCUUCGGGGGACAGAGUGACAGGUGGUGCAUGGUUGUCGUCAGCUCGUGUCGUGAGAUGUUGGGUUAAGUCCCGCAACGAGCGCAACCCUUGAUCUUAGUUGCCAGCAUUCAGUUGGGCACUCUAAGGUGACUGCCGGUGACAAACCGGAGGAAGGUGGGGAUGACGUCAAAUCAUCAUGCCCCUUAUGACCUGGGCUACACACGUGCUACAAUGGAUGGUACAAAGAGCUGCGAACCCGCGAGGGUAAGCCAAUCUCAUAAAGCCAUUCUCAGUUCGGAUUGU
rnacentral:rRNA from 1 species